GACAGAGGGGGCAAGCGUUGCUCGGAAUUACUGGGCGUAAAGGGCGCGUAGGCGGGAUGGCAAGUCGGUCGUGAAAUCCCUCGGCUCAACCGAGGAACGUCGAUCGAUACUGCUGUUCUUGAGGAUUGCAGAGGAGACUGGAAUUCCCGGUGUAGCGGUGAAAUGCGUAGAUAUCUGGAGGAACACCGGUGGCGAAGGCGGCAUCCUGGACCGGUAUUGACGCUGAUGCGCGAAAGCCAGGGGAGCAAACGGG
rnacentral:rRNA from 1 species